rnacentral:misc_RNA from 1 species
GUUUCUUGCCAAUUCAUGUUAUUGGCAGCUGUGUCACUUUGUAAGUUGUCUGCUUGAUCAGACAGCCUAUUGAUGUCACUUUCUUCACUUCUAGGUUGCAAUUGCUCAUUAUCUUCAAGUUGGAUAUUCUGGGAAGUGUUUGUCUGACUCCAAUCAUUUCUAGAAUCAUUGACAUUACUAUCAAGUGUGCUAUCAGAAUGGCCACUUACUUGGCCACGAAC